AAAUGCAUUUGAGCGAGUGGCUCAAACGUGCAAAAGGGGAGCAAGUGUGGAUGAGGACAGCUGAGUGGACCUGCAGCCGGCGACGCAACCACCGGCCGCCGCAACGCAGACAAACAAAACCUAACCUAGUGAUUCCAAGUAUCGGAGGAGAUGGACAUGGAGGGUACUGGAGAGGUGGUGCAGAUGGAGGAGGAGGUGAGCAUGCUGGUGGGGCCGGUGCUUCCGCCCGCCGCUGACGUCACUCCCGAGAGGGAGUAGGCCGUAGCGCAGCAGGUGAGGAACUCAUCACGCGUCAUGCCCAUGCUUGGGGUUAAUUUUGUUUUCUCAUGCAUAUCCUGCUGUGCUGGAUGCUUGGAUUGGGGUGGAAUUCCUUUGGUCUUGAUUCAGAUUCACACCCGGUGGAGUGAACUACUCUGUUGUUUGGUAACAAAGAAGUACUAUACUACAGCUACACAAAGAUGGUACACAAACACAAGAAACAACAAUCAAAAUGGUUGGCUGGACAGAAUAACACAAAAAGCUUGUCUCCGCAGCUUGCCUUCGCUGAUGUCAAACAUUUUUUAUUGUGUGCUUCUCUCUCUGUUGCAGAAGAUAUGUUCACCUUCUUGAGUAUGGUCCAUGAAAAGAAUCCUGUGGAGGAUGUGAAGCCCUCUGUUACUGACAGAGCAUGGAUGCUUGUGAGAUUGUUGAAGCACUUGAUGCGAGUCAAGAUUUUCCAGAAAUGUCAUUGUGGCCGAUAGCAAAAGUUGCCGUGCUUUUUCCUGACCCGACAAGAAAAAAAUGUUUGACUGAAUAUAGCUCUGAUACCCAAGGUGUCUGGUCAAUCAUAGAGAAGGAAUUUGAUGCAUCAGCUGGUAACUCACAUAGCAGCAAGCAGUCUUUGGAACAUCCAUAUGUGCUUAAGCAACUAGCAUUUACUGAGGUGGAGCGUUGAACAGGUAUGGAGCGCUCAAAAUUGCAUCUUCUCGACAAAGAUAUGACAUACACAUUGAGUACAGAAAGGACAACUACCAAGUUAUUCAUUGUGGGGUAUGAAAAAACCAUGAACAGAGAACUUACAGAAAUUCCUCUACAAGAGUUGAUAUCCAGGUUCGCUUUUACCUAUUAGGCAGUUCGAUGAUUGUAGAUUACACCCCUUUUUAUUAACCAACUUUAUUAUCUAGCUUGAUGGAUCUUUAAACUAUGUUGGUACUAGUUGCUUCGCUAAAGCUCUUUCCAUUUUCCCCUCUAGCAGUACUGUGUUUCAUGUAUAUAUAAUGCUCAUUGCAUAAAAUCGUUUUUUUUUCUUGUUGUCCUCUAAAAUGCUUAAUGGUGUAUCAUGUAGCUUUUGCCGUUUCUGAAUGAUUGUAACUCCUGACAUUUUUGGGAUUUUCCUCUCUUGACAGUAUGAGUGGACAGUUAUUUGUAAAUGAUCCAUUCCCUAAAACAUCAUCUGUUGUUGAGCACUAUCAUAUUCUCCCAUAUAAUUAAGAAGAGUUUGCUUCAAUUCCUGCAGAGCUGAAAGCGUGGAACAGCAAGAAGCAAAUAGCAAGUACAAGAUGCAAAAAGGAACUAAAAAAGUGUCAACACCAAAGCAAAAGAAACAAGCAAUAAAAUUAGUUGAUACCAAUAGCAACAACAGAUCCAGCACCAACAAGGGCAGGAAGAACAACAAAAGAACAUAGGAAGCCAAGACUACAGCGCUGCUGUCAACGUGGAAGGUCGGGAUGGUGACAACCCCGUGAGAGAAAAUGAUGCACUUAUUGUUGUUGGUGUGGAUACUUCAAAACAAACAACCAAGUCUAGAAACACAAAGGAAGCAGCUGCAGCAAGUGGAGGACAAAUCAUCCUACAAGCUGGUGUUCAAGUGGACAAGAAAAACACACAGGGUGGUGAUAUCACCCCGGAUGUCUUCCCUAAAAAGGCACAAAGUGCUGAUCAUGUAACGAAGAACAUUGUUUUGGAAGGUCAAAAUAUGGGAGCUUCAGAAAACUCAGGAGGCAUUAUGGAGAACAACAAUGAUCAGAUGUAUGAUUCAGUACAAUCAAUUCAGAAAAUGCGGGAUGAUUUUGUUCACAAGUAACACAUACUUGCAGAACGUGGUGCUGAUCAGUGUGAUAUGGACAGUCAGACAAUCUUGAGUGCUAUUCUGUCUUUUUCGCAUUUAAACAUGGUUAAAAUUAACAAUUACAUACUCUACAAUCACUAAGGUUUUGUGGCAAACAUGGUGCAUGUUUCUUUGGUGGACACAAAUUUAAUUAUUUUUGUGUUAAACUGUGGCAUGCCAUGCUUUUCAUGGUGGACAAAUCGUCCGCCACAGAGUGUGACGAACAAAUCGUCUGCCAAAGUUUCACCAAAUUUUGCCAAGUUAUUUCUAUAUUAGUUUUCUACAUUGAGAGAUAACACACAAGGUAAGCUGUUCCCUACGGUUCCUGAUUAGUUCCUUCCAUUGCGAGAUAACACACGUAGUAGUAAGCUGUGCUAACCAUGCCGAGGCCAAAAGAAUUUUCAAGGUUUCACAACAACCGAUAAUUUUUUUUUGUUUUGAUCUCAUAUAGCAAUUCACCACACAUGUUAUGGUGCGUUGAAGUGUUAGUCUAAUUUAGCGUCAGGGUCUUAUUGAUAGUUAGCAAAGACAUGAACUCUUGUAGGCAUUGUUGCAGAUCAUCUCUAGCCAUUACCAUCACUUGUCAAGAAUUGGAUAGAUCACCAGCUAGCAAUAACCAGAACUGCGAUUUGAAUGACCAUCAUCUUCUCUCUCCAUGGUUCUUACACAUUGUUUCGAGCACUUUUUGACUGGUCAUUUUCUUGGUUUUUCAGGAAUGUUCGACGCAUGUGUAAAUCUGAGGGGCUUUGAUUUUGACAUGAGAAUCAGUGGUGAUCGUCGUAUGACCCCGUAAGAAGCUAGGUGUGGCUGCCAAUAUGAUAAUGGAGCUUCAAAAGAAGGCAGAGGAAGAAUAGCGGGCUAUGGAAAGUUGCCUAAUAAUGCUCCUUAAAUUGUGAAUUGGCAGGUGCUGAAAGAAACUGAGUUAGUCUCAUCAGUGCAACGUUGAACCAAAUUUCCUGAGAAAAAUACUUGUAUUUUUGCCUUGUCUAUCUAUUCGACCUUGCAAUGUUUCUCCUCAUGGGCAAUAAUUGUUUUGUUACCCUGUCUAGAUAGAUAUCUAGUGUGUUGCUCGGUCGUGAAAGUAGAUGGUAACCGGUGGAUUAAAGAAGAAAAUGUGAAACAUAUUUAUUGAA